rnacentral:rRNA from 1 species
GACGAACGCUGGCGGCGUGCUUAACACAUGCAAGUCGAACGGAAAGGCCCUGCUUUUGUGGGGUGCUCGAGUGGCGAACGGGUGAGUAACACGUGAGUAACCUGCCCUUGACUUUGGGAUAACUUCAGGAAACUGGGGCUAAUACCGGAUAGGAGCUCCUGCUGCAUGGUGGGGGUUGGAAAGUUUCGGCGGUUGGGGAUGGAUUCGCGGCUUAUCAGCUUGUUGGUGGGGUAGUGGCUUACCAAGGCUUUGACGGGUAGCCGGCCUGAGAGGGUGACCGGCCACAUUGGGACUGAGAUACGGCCCAGACUCCUACGGGAGGCAGCAGUGGGGAAUAUUGCACAAUGGGCGGAAGCCUGAUGCAGCAACGCCGCGUGCGGGAUGACGGCCUUCGGGUUGUAAACCGCUUUCGCCUGUGACGAAGCGUGAGUGACGGUAAUGGGUAAAGAAGCACCGGCUAACUACGUGCCAGCAGCCGCGGUGAUACGUAGGGUGCGAGCGUUGUCCGGAUUUAUUGGGCGUAAAGGGCUCGUAGGUGGUUGAUCGCGUCGGAAGUGUAAUCUUGGGGCUUAACCCUGAGCGUGCCUUCGAUACGGGUUGACUUGAGGAAGGUAGGGGAGAAUGGAAUUCCUGGUGGAGCGGUGGAAUGCGCAGAUAUCAGGAGGAACACCAGUGGCGAAGGCGGUUCUCUGGGCCUUUCCUGACGCUGAGGAGCGAAAGCGUGGGGAGCGAACAGGCUUAGAUACCCUGGUAGUCCACGCUGUAAACGGUGGGUACUAGGUGUGGGGUCCAUUCCACGGGUUCCGUGCCGUAGCUAACGCUUUAAGUACCCCGCCUGGGGAGUACGGCCGCAAGGCUAAAACUCAAAGGAAUUGACGGGGCCCCGCACAAGCGGCGGAGCAUGCGGAUUAAUUCGAUGCAACGCGUAGAACCUUACCUGGGUUUGACAUGGAUCGGGAGUGCUCAGAGAUGGGUGUGCCUCUUUUGGGGUCGGUUCACAGGUGGUGCAUGGCUGUCGUCAGCUCGUGUCGUGAGAUGUUGGGUUAAGUCCCGCAACGAGCGCAACCCUUGUUCACUGUUGCCAGCACGUUAUGGUGGGGACUCAGUGGAGACCGCCGGGGUCAACUCGGAGGAAGGUGGGGAUGACGUCAAGUCAUCAUGCCCCUUAUGUCCAGGGCUUCACGCAUGCUACAAUGGCUGGUACAGAGAGUGGCGAGCCUGUGAGGGUGAGCGAAUCUCGGAAAGCCGGUCUCAGUUCGGAUUGGGGUCUGCAACUCGACCUCAUGAAGUCGGAGUCGCUAGUAAUCGCAGAUCAGCAACGCUGCGGUGAAUACGUUCCCGGGGCU